AUUGAACGCUGGCGGCAGGCCUAACACAUGCAAGUCGAGCGAGCGGCGGACGGGUGAGUAAUGUCUGGGAACCUGCCUGAUGGCGGGGGAUAACUACUGGAAACGGUAGCUAAUCCCGCAUACCAUCAGAUGUGCCCCGAGGGGAUUAGCUAGUAGGUGGGGUAACGGCUCACCUAGGCGACGAUCCCUAGCUGGUCUGAGAGGGUGACCAGCCACACUGGAACUGAGACACGGUCCAGACUCCUACGGGAGGCAGCAGUGGGGAAUAUUGCACAAUGGGCGAAAGUCUGAUGCAGCCAGGCCGCGUGUGUGAAGAAGGUCUUCGGGUUGUAAAGCACUGUCAGCGGGGAGGCGGUACCCGAAGAAGAAGCACCGGCUAACUACGUGCCAGCAGCCGCGGUAAUUC
rnacentral:rRNA from 1 species